rnacentral:lncRNA from 1 species
CUGGAGUAAGAGAAGCAGACACUUUGAAGCCCUUUAGAAGCAAAAUAGCACAUAAAGUGAAGAAGUCACAGUGACUGCUGUCGUUCCGAAAGCGCAGACUGCAUUUCCAAAAGGAUUUGAUCUUGUCUGAGUUUAACCCGGAAGAUUACAAAUCUGUGUCACUGGCAAUACUAUUAAUUCCUAGAGAGUUUUACUAAUAUCUUUUCUCUAUCUUGUCUGCCUUAAAACUUUCCCCAAGGUACCGGGUGAACAGAAUUCUUUUCCUUUAUAAUUGUUGUAAUCUCCCAUUUUCUCACUGACCUCCCCUAUCCCCCCAAAACCUUUCUAAAUCUUCCUAAGUGGCAAAUUAAAGGAUUUGCCCCUGGUGCUGCCUCUGACCCUUUAGAAGCUGAAUGACAAUUGUUUCCUCUCUUUUCUUCCUGACUCCUCCCCUUAUCCCUGUCUUGGGAAGUUGAGCUUCUUCCAGUGAAGUCUUUCCCAUCAAUCCCAGGGACCUCCUCUGCUCUGUUUGUCUACAAUCAUGAGAUUGGGCAUUUCUUCAGAGUUUAAAAUCAGGCUUUGCAAUUUGACUUUUGGGGACUGGGAACAGAGUGUGGUAUGGGGAUAAUUUUUUAAUAAUGCCUUGGUCUCUUACCCAGAGAACUGUCAGCCAACCCCACUCUCCAAUCCCCAGGGGAAACUGCCAAUAUUACCAUAGGAAGGAUCAAUAGAGUUGCCUCAGCAACAGUAAUCAGCCAUGAAACCAUUUUUCCUGGCUGUUUGGAUACACUGAGUGGACUGGGAGCAGAGGUGUGUCCUUCCUGUCUUUCACGGAGUCCAUGGAUAUGAGUUGAUUGUAUUCACUGGAUCCAGUCCCCUGCAAUGGGCACUAGGUGAGGUCACAGCCUGAAGAGGAUCUGUGAGAAGCCUGAUUUCACUUGAGAUUUCCUAAGAGAGCCUUUGAAAUAUGCCGCCACAUCCUAAAAGUUUUCAAGAACAUUUGUCAGGAGCCAAAUUUCUAGGAGUCAGAAAUGUAUAUUUAACAGCCGACUCCACUCUGGUCAUUUGCUGAGAUCUGCACCCCUUGUUCUGGCAUAGAAAAGAAAAGAAUCAGUUGGAAUCAGGGUGGAAGAAUAAGACUUGGCUGUUAGCUGCAAAGACAAGGAGCAGGCAGAGUAGAUUGUGGGGUUUUUUUCCCCGCUCAUUGAUUCCAGCUUUAGCCCAGCACAAGUUUAUUUUUAAAAAUGUGGAUGCUCCAUUUUCAGAGAGUGAUCUAAAAAUAUAUGCCUGCAUGCCUGUGGCUGUAAUGUGUAUAUAAAUCCAAAGCCACAAAAGAAAGUGAUUAUAUUAUACUCAGGAGCUCAGAUGCAUUACAAAGCAGAACUGGAGGAGCCCUCCCUACCUUCCUCAUCAGGAAAGAACAUAUGUGCACAUUAUGUCCAUGUAUAUAUUUUCAGAGUGAGUUUCAUGAAUGAGUAAGAUAGGUUUUCUAUGCAGAGUAAUUUAAGGACACCAAGAAAGGCUGUUUUUCAAGUAUGAUGCCAUAUUGGCCCUCUAUGCUGUCUAAAAUGACACCCUUGGCAAAAAUAAAACUAUAAGAAUGAAAGCAAACGUUGAUUAGGGGUGCUGUUUCCACAUGUUAGGCAUCAUGCUUAGUCUUUUCAGGUUUCACUCCCUUUACUCCACAUUAGAACAAAGUAAAUCAGGUACUGAUAUUAUUAUGAUGUAACAGAUGAAGAAACUGAAGUUAAUGAGAUUGAGUAAGUUGUCCAAAGCCAUGCCCAGAAGGAAAAUGUUUUCUGAUUCCACAACCCAUGUCGUUAACAACCACAUGAUGAGAGGCAGUGUGCACGGUGGUUAAGAAUGGGCCCAGCUUCUAGCGCCAGGCUGCCUGGAUUUGAAACUGAAGUCUGCCUAAUACCAGCUUUUUCAUUAUAAGCAAGCUAUUUAACCUCUCUGUGCCUCAGUUUCCUUCUCGGUAAAAAAUAAGGAUAAUAAUUUGACUCUUAGAGUUGCUGAAAGGAAUCAAUAGGUUAAUUGAUGUAAAGCUCUUAGAGAAUGAAAGUCAUCAGGGACUGGCAAAGUUUUACUUUUUGCAUUGCACGGCCACCCAAAGCCUAUACUGCAUAGUGAAUGUGUUUUCUUUUACAAACGAGUAGAGUACUAAAAGCUACAGACUCAGACAAUCUGCUGUUGAGGCUCAGAAAAGCCAAUACUCCAAAAUGAAAGUCUCAUAAGCAAAAUUUCUCUUGGAACUUCUGCCCUCCUGUCUCUCGCCUCUUAUUCUCUCCUGAGGAAUAGUAAUUAGAAUACCUCUUCCCCAGGAUGGGUCAGAGAAACCAGAACCCCUUUCCCCCAAAGCCAGUUAGAAAGCCUGAAAAUAUUACUCUAACCUUCCCUCAUCUUUCUGUGUAACAGCAGGCCAUUAAGAAAUUGAGACCUUUAUUCCAGAGAAGUCCUAUCCCAUACCUGGGAGGAAAAAAAAUAAAAAGCUACAACAGAGAGGCCAAGAAGAAUCUGGACAGACAGGCCUUGGUGGGUUUCCUCACUCAACUACCAUUAGCUCAUAACCUUUUUGUCCAAUCGCAUUUCUACAUGACUGUCCUGGCUUCAUUGAACCUAAGCAUAAAAUCAUACAGCUUCUCCUGUAUCUUUGGGUCUUCAAUCUGAAAGCCAUUGUUGAAUAAAAGUCUAAUCAAAUAAAUUUGUU